GUUCUCCUUUUUCCAGUGACAGUGCAGUACCUUUUUUUCUAUUAGUCAUCCUAUUUUCUGAGGUAAGAGCAAAGGGGAAAAAAAUGGGAAUAUGGGACUUCGUUUGUUCCGGUGUGCAGAUGCUUGGUCAGUGUGUGCCCGAUGAGGAAGGCAGGGAUACGAUGAUCAAGUUCCUUAAAAUUGCUUCCUUUUUUGCCGCUAAAGAAGCAGCCAACAACAUUUCUGGUGUUAGGGCAGUUAACGAAAUUUACAAUGCAACAGUUCGUGAAAUGAACAAUGCGUCUAAAAAGAAUUAAGGCACGCCGUCCUAAGAGUCUUCAUGAUGAAGAAAUUUAUGGGUGCUCGUUUUCUCGAUACUUUGUUGGUUCCUGAUCACGGACAACCGAAUAAAGUUAGUUGAUAUGUAUCUGGCUAUCUCAUAGAUGUUUGUCUUACUGGAUUGUUGGUUGUGUAUGCUUGUAAGUAGAUCUAAGUUACCGCUUUGUCUUGUUUCCGUUGAAAGUUGCAUGACGGAAGAUAACUUUAUAUGUAUCCAAUUUGAACUCCAGUAUCGCUUGUAAUUAUAAGAUCUAAGUUAUCUCUCUAGUUUGUUUCCUUUGAAGUUACCUCUUUUCUAGUUCCUGAUCAUCGACAACGGGAGAAAGUGUAAAUGAUUCUAGUAUGUUUCUGGAGAAAGUGGAGAGUAUUUUCGAGAGACCUCAAGAUCUUUUGGGCUUGAAGGCUUACAGUUCUUUCUUGGUAUAUUGUGCCGGCCGGAGAAAUGACAUAUGUGGACGAAAAGAAUACAAUGAAGAAAUGUAUCUGGGCGUCUCAUAUAAGUUAUUACUGGAAUGCUGGUAGUUAAAUCUAAGUUACCAUUUCGAUUUGUUUCGUUUGAAAUUUCGAUUUGUUUCGUUUGAAACUCGCACGACGGGAUAGAUGCCUAUGGGCCAGUAAUUUGAACUGCAGUAUUCUGAGUAUGAAUAUGCUUAUAAUUA